UAGGGAAUCUUCCACAAUGGACGCAAGUCUGAUGGAGCAACGCCGCGUGAGUGAAGAAGGUUUUCGGACCGUAAAGCUCUGUUGUUGGUGAAGAAGGAUAGAGGUGGUAACUGGCCUUUAUUUGACGGUAAUCAACCAGAAAGUCACGGCUAACUACGUGCCAGCAGCCGCGGUAAUCGUAGGUGGCAAGCGUUGUCCGGAUUUAUUGGGCGUAAAGCGAGCGCAGGCGGAAGAAUAAGUCUGAUGUGAAAGCCCUCGGCUUAACCGAGGAAUUGCAUCGGAAACUGUUUUCUUGAGUGCAGAAGAGGAGAGUAGAACUCCAUGUGUAGCGGUGGAAUGCGUAGAUAUAUGGAAGAAUACCAGUGGCGAAGGCGGCUCUCUGGUCUGCAACUGACGCUGAGGCUCGAAAGCAUGGGUAGCGAACAGGAUUAGAUACCCUGGUAGUCCAUGCCGUAAACGAUGAGUGCUAAGUGUUGGGAGGCUUCCGCCUCUCAGUGCUGCAGCUAACGCAUUAAGCACUCCGCCUGGGGGAGUACGACCGC
rnacentral:rRNA from 1 species